rnacentral:tRNA from 1 species
GGAGAUGUGGCUUAGUGGUUAAGAGAGCUUGCUGCUCUUCGGGAGGACCUGGGUUUAAUUCCCAGCAUAAUCA